GUGCACCAGGCGCGAAACUUCACACUGUGCGAAAGCACGAUGAGGGAAUCCCAAGUGCUUGCACGUAAGUGUAAGCUGUUUCUCUGUCUAAAACGCAGAGAGAGUAAGGGCUGGGUAAGACGGGUGCCAGCCGCCGCGGUAAUACCUGCAGCUCAAGUGGUGACCGUUAUUAUUGGGCCUAAAACGUCCGUAGCCGGUUUAAUAAAUGCCUGGGUAAAUUGUGUAGCUUAACUAUACGAAUUCCGGGUAGACUGUUAAACUUGAGACCGGGAGAAGUUAGAGGUACUCCUGGGGUAGAGGUGAAAUUCUGUAAUCCUAGGGGGACCACCAGUGGCGAAGGCGUCUAACUAGAACGGGUCUGACGGUGAGGGACGAAGCCCUGGGGCGCAAACGGGAUUAGAUACCCGUGUAGU
rnacentral:rRNA from 1 species